rnacentral:lncRNA from 1 species
CGGCUCGGAUGGUUAUCAGUUCUACGCCUUGGUACUCUGAGUCUGACCCUGGUCUGCAGUUUUCCGGAUACUGAGCUCUGCACUGCCACAGCCUGACUGGCUGGUUAACUCCUGCUGGGCCUGAGUGACUCCAGGCAGCAGCACUCUGCCGCACGCGGGCUACCUGCCGAGGAACAACACCUGCACAGCACUUUUAAUGAAAUGUCAUUUUUCACAACGAGAUGGAAAAUAAAGCGUCAAGGAUGGCAGCCUCAGUGACACGUCGCUUCCUUUGAUGCCCCGUCGCCUGCCAAGGCAAACAGGCCACCAGCACAUCACCAGAACGGUCUGAAUGAACUUUUCAAAAAAC